CGAAGGUGGGCUAAUCACGGUUGGACAUCGUGAGGUUAGUGCAAUGGCAUAAGCCCGCUUAACUGCGAGAAUGACGGUUCGAGCAGGUGCGAAAGCAGGUCAUAGUGAUCCGGUGGUUCUGUAUGGAAGGGCCAUCGCUCAACGGAUAAAAGGUACUCCGGGGAUAACAGGCUGAUACCGCCCAAGAGUUCAUAUCGACGGCGGUGUUUGGCACCUCGAUGUCGGCUCAUCACAUCCUGGGGCUGAAGUCGGUCCCAAGGGUAUGGCUGUUCGCCAUUUAAAGUGGUACGCGAGCUGGGUUUAGAACGUCGUGAGACAGUUCGGUCCCUAUCUGCCGUGGGCGUUGGAAGAUUGAAGGGGGCUGCUCCUAGUACGAGAGGACCGGAGUGGACGAACCUCUGGUGUUCGGGUUGUGUCGCCAGACGCAUUGCCCGGUAGCUAAGUUCGGAAUCGAUAACCGCUGAAAGCAUCUAAGCGGGAAGCGAGCCCUGAGAUGAGUCUUCCCUGAUACUUUAAGUAUCCUAAAGGGUUGUUCGAGACUAGAACGUUGAUAGGCAGGGUGUGUAAGCGUUGUGAGGCGUUGAGCUAACCUGUACUAAUUGCCCGUGAGGCUUAACCAU
rnacentral:rRNA from 1 species